UCUUUCAAUGUUUUGCAGAACAGGAAUGAGUUCAGAGGGAAGUUAAAGCUUUACUAGUAAUACAGUAUUAAACAACAUAGUUGUGAUUCUUGCAAUUUGACUGUAUCCUAAAGUAAAAUCUGAAUCAAAGGGCAAAUCAUUUGCCUUCCUUGCCUGUUUGGCUAUCAGGCUAUGAAGAACUCUCAGAAAAAUAAAAAUAUGAAUUAAGACUAAUGGGGACAUGAAUUUCUUCUCACGCUCACUGCUCUGAGAAAUUUCAUUUCAGGUUCCCAAGUGCAAAUUUCAGACAGUUAAAGUACACAGAAGUUAGCAUGAGCUGCAAGGUCACAGAUGGGAAUAUUCCUUUACCUUAGAUGCGAGUUUAUUGGGCAUUUGUCAUUUUACUAUUAUUUUUCUCUUGUGGGAGAGAAGUUUUUUUUUGCAUUGCUAGGUAACGGCAAUAGAGGAAAGUAGACCUGGAUUAUUUCAUGCAAAAGCAUCUGCCUUUUUACAUCUACACCAACGUGAAGGUGGUAACAUCUACUGGAUAUGAACUCUGAAAAAUGUUUCCUUCUUUUUCUCCAGCCUCUCAGAAGAAAUAGAGAACCUAGGUAAGACAGGUGCCAAUGAAGGCAAACAUACUGAUCUACUUGUGAUAGACUUCAGACCAUUAAUACUUGUGCUGGGUAAGGACUGUGUGUAACAGUCAGUUUGCCUAACUACAAACUUCGCUGGAAUGGGCUAAACUUCCUGCAAACAUGUGGCUUACAGUCUCGCGCUGGAAUUAGACACAAUAACGUCACAUUCGGGGAUGCAGGGACUUCCCAGACUGUUAUGACAUCAGAGGUAACAGAAAAUUAAUCUCUGCCUGUGUGAGCUCAGAAGGUCUUACUCAAGUCACUUAUUUCUGAACUGAGAUAAAGAGCAAAAACCUUUUUGACACAGGUCUACAGAUUUGGGUACUCCACAGCUUCUUCGGGUCAUUCUCUCAAAUGGCACUUAACCAUUUGUCUUCUAUAGCUGCUUGUUAAACAGUUGGUUUGAUGCAGCUGAACUGUGCUGAAAUAUGGGGUAGAUCAGUUUUGCUGUUUUGUAUUUCUGGUUUAGAAGUUGUGUUUAUGUACUUCAUCCAUUAAUUGGAAUCUAUGCUUUAGCUACAAUUACAAAUAAAAAGAACAGGAAAAAAAAAAAGAAGAAAUCUAGUUGUAAAAGAGCAUUGAGGGAGUGCCAAAAUAAAGUAAGUUGGCAGAAAAUGAUUUAGCAGAUCUCAUAAAAACCUUGUGCUACUAUGUUGUAAGUUAACUAAGACAGAUAUUUAAAGCACGUUUAAUCAACAUACAAAUUUUCAGCAUAUACCAACAAAAAGUUUAUAGUAUAAAAGUACCGACAACUGGAAGUUAUCUGUAGAAUUUUAUAAAUAAGUACUUGCAGAUGGAAAUGUAAAUUACUUUUCUGAAAAAACAGCCAGUGCAAUGAAAAUGGCUUUUAACAAAACAUGAGUGCAGUUGUUUUUUGCCAGUACGGUUCAGAAAAAGUGUCAUUAUUCUUGUUCUAGCUAAUAUGUAUUGCUAAACAACCGUACUUUGCUGUUGUACAUUCUUGUUAUUUUGAUUUGUUAUAUUUUUGUUUAAAAAUAUAUAUUUUCAAUUAGAAUCUUUUGAAGUUGAGGCAUUGUUUCUUCCAGCUACACAUUAUGACCUAACAGAAUAAAAAUAGUACAGAAUUAGUUUUGUAUUAUUGGAGAGAAGAUUAAAACAAAUUCUUAAUUCUCAAAAUAUCCAAAACAUUCCUUGUACGUACACUGGGCUUUACAAAAGCAUUAGCUCUCAAAUAAUACUUAGUCAAACUCUGGCAAACAAGAGUCAGUGGAUCCUAACAGGAUCAUGGGGACUCCUUUUCAGAUAAAAAACCACACCAGACAAACCCUCAGCAGAUGCAGCAUUCUCAUCCCAUCUCUGAAACAGGAAACAUGAAUAAGGUAUAAGAAAAAUAAAUACAAGAGACAUAAUGCAGUACAGUACAAUUCAUUUUGACUUCUGCAUCACAGGGAAAAAGCAACCAUUCAUGUGUUUGAAGUCAGUAAAUAACACGAAGCUAUUGGAAUUACUUGAGCACUUAAAGUAGAUGUAUUUUUAGAAGCAAGAUUACAAAGGUCACUUAUUCUCUCUCAUGAUUAGCAGUGUAACAUCAACCCUCAGAGGAAACAGUUCCACAGCCUGUAUGAAAUCAGCUUAAAGAAAUAAAUGUGAUGCUGCAUUUGAGAAAAACUAAAGACAGCUGCUGGGUAAGACAUGCCUAAUAUUUGACUGCUUGAGCUCAAAAGUAGUUUAGGACGGCAUAUGAAAAGCUAUCUAGGCUACAAGAGUUAGAAUAAGACGCAUAAACUCAUCAGAUUAAAUGUCUUACAAUUAUUUUUAAGAGCACAAAAAAAAAAAAAAAAAAGUUCUGUAAGGAGCAGGGAUACAGAUAUACAUACAGAUAUACACUUCUAUCUACCAUUUCAGAAACCAGAGCCUAACAAAGUUACUGCUCAGCAGCUACUUGUUUUCAUCGUAGCAAUAGUAACUCAGAAGGGGCAUACCUUAGAUUGGAGCCAAGACUAAUCUGAAGAGCAUCCAUAACAGUCAGAGUAACUACAGCCUACUCUCAGGUGCAUCUCCUGCAUCUUCCAAUCCCUGAUUUCUCCACAUUCACACUCCUUCCUCCACCCCUCUCAUCCUCCCCUUCAUCAUCUUUCUUUUUUCACCAGAGAAAUAUCUCCAAAUAAAUAUUUAUGACAUGUUUCUCAGAUAUAUUAUUAGGGUUCAUCUGUCCUGACCAGAAAAAUCUAAAACAGCGCAAACCUGCUACUGACUUUUUAAUUAGAUUUAUUACAAAUCCCUCAGAUUGUUAAUUUCAAUAGAUUAUUUCUUUCAGAGAUGUAUUUUAAACAAACAAACAAUAAAAACGUUGUUACUUUGUGCUGUCCUAGAUUUCACAUUCUUUCAAGUUUAUUCUAGCUGCCCCUCCAAAAUCUGAAUGUAUCGCUGCGCACAGAACUGUGUCCAGCAAUGCAUCCACAGAUGCCAGUGACAUGUACAAAUCUAGCCAACCCAAAUGAAAAAAAAAAAAAAACCUCUUGGGCCUAAACUGGCAUGCCCUAAAAUGCUGUCUAAUUUAGUGAACAGUUACUACCAGUUAAACAACAAGUACAUGUAAUCUCACUGAAGAACUUCCAGUAGCUUAGUUCAAAAUAAACUACUGGAAAAUCUGGACUGCUUGGAAAGUAAUGUGUCCUGUUUUAUUAUGCUGGCCCACAACAUCAGAGGUGGAUGUUGGUGGUAUGGCAGUAGAGGUUGAACUUUCCCACCAAUAUUCCGUUGAUUGUUGUUGCUGUGUGACAGACAGCGGCAGAGGGGCAGUCUCACCAAAUGGUGUCUGACAUGGAAGUGCACAGGACGCAAAGGUGUAGCACCCAAUGACACUCAUUGACCCAUGGUAUAUAUUGGAAUGGAGAAGUGAAUGGGGACCAACCAGUGUAUGUGAGCAUGGCGAGGCUGUGGGUGGUGUGAUUCAGCAGUGGCAACAGUGACAGUGGUUCACCUCUGCUGGCGCAGACUUUUAUGAGCACAGCAUGCAGGUUCUUGUUCAUUGCUGCUGAAAAUGCGUAACUAGUGGUGGUGACUAUGUUGAAAAGUGCUGUUUUGUAGCUAAGAAACUGAUAUAUCAAAUAGCAUUAUUGUGCUCUUUUGCACAAUAUUGCAAUCUGUUGUAGCUUUCAUGGAAAUAAAUAGGAAGCAUUAUAUUCAGAACAACAUACAUAUAAAAGAAAUGCCCAAAUUCUGUAGAAAAGGUCUCUGUGAGAUAUUUCAACACAAAAGCAAAUGUAUUUAAAAUUACUCUUUCUUUACAGCCUGCACCAUCUCCCAUCAAACUCAAGUCGCAUUGAAACACAGGAAUUCUGUUCACCAGCUAUGUGAAAGGCACAGUCAACUCUAGAUAGUCAUUAAUUAGACCUCCAGAACUAUAAAAACUGUGUUAAUUUGGUAUAUUAUUUUGCUUUUGGUAUUUGAGUACUUGGGGUACAUUCCAGGUCACAAAUCUUCUGCUCUAAUUGCAUAGAUAAUACUACUGUGUGUUUCUCUUUAAAUGAAAAUUAUCAGGAUCCCAUGAUUACUUAUCUUAGUAAUCUAGAAUUUAGGAGGAACAUCAGCUAACACAGGGCACAGUCAUAUUGCUUUCAGUCAAAUUGUAUUUAUGCAAAUAAAGGUCAGAUUUAGUACAAUGGAUUUACCCAGUUCUCAGUCGGGAUAGUGACUCACACAUAGUUCCUUUUCUCAUGAGUUAACAUAGCUUCAAAAUGUCAUUUACAAAGAAAACAAAACAAAUUACGCACAAAAAUGCAAAACCAAAACAGCCCUGGACAGAGACUAUAACUGAUGUCAUUGUGACUUCUGAUGCAUCAGUGAAUUUCCUUUUGCUGUUUGAAAUCCUUUGCUAACUCUCUGCAUGUAAAACUAUUCACAUUUUAGAAUGUUCUCAAAGUCUCUUUUUCUAAGCUUUAGAAGUAAAGGCAGGACGUAGGACUUGCAGAUGUCACCAUUGUGGUUCCUUGUCUGAAGACAAGCAACAUAGAAACCUAUACAGCAGAUUAAGGUAAAGAAAGUUGCCUAUAAUCAUACAUUUCAUAUAUCUGUACAAAGACAUUCUUAAGCAGCUGCAAUUACAUUUUCACCUACCCACUGAAACCUCCGGUGAGGUAUGUUUUAAGACAUACAGCAGAAUUUAGACAUGAAUACUAUGGAAUUAAUAAAUUCUCCCCUCUGCAUAUGGAGAACAGAACCAUGGCAGACCCUAUCAUUAGGACAGAAGAAACAACAAAAAGCUGCAGGAGUUGCCAGGGUGGGAUCUACCAGCCAUCGAACUGUCUCUCUUGCUUGAGCUUCCUUGCAAUUACAGUACAUCUGUAUUCUCUUCUUUGUCAAAGAACAAUUGCACAAGACUACCACUGGUUUUACUUUGAAAAAUAUUAGUAAAUCAUAUUGUCUAAAAGCACAAACAUUUUGGAUUUAACUGUGCAACUUAUUAUAGGGUACCUGCCUUAGCAGGGGAGUUGGACUCAAUGAUUUCUUAAGGUCUCUUCCAAUCCCUAUGAUUCUUUGAUUCUCUGACCUGUGAUUCUUGCACAAUUUUGUCUGAUUAGGUACCAGCAAAUCACAUGCAAUACGUAUACAUUUUUAAACAAAAACUGAAUUUGUCUUUGGAUCUAUUAAAUAAUAAGCAGGGCACAAAAAUGGGUCAAAGUAAGCAUCAGGUCUCCUUGCUGAAUUAAUUACCCCCCUAUUUCAACUAUUUCAAUUAAAUUAACAACAUUGCUAUUACUGUUUUAUACAGGUUUUUUAAAACACCGCUGUAACUAAAGUUUAUCACUCUCACACUUACUCUCCAUUAUGCUCCUUUAGACAUUCUUUCAUCCUUUUAUUUUGAUAUUUUCACUCAUCAAAUGUGUCAAACCACAUACGCAGUGAUUUUGUCUCGUAUACUGAUUCAGUCUAAUAUGAUAUCAAGGAAAAUCACAUACAGAAAAUCUACACCCUUUUAACAUUGAUCUCUAUGGUCUCUGCAUUAUCACAAAUUUGAGAAUCAUUUCUCUUAAAGCAGCAAGUCUUGUGGACCAGAUCAAUGAUUUUCAGAUGCAGAGAGCACUGACAAAGCACAGUUGUGAGUAGUCAUCUGAAAUGGACUUAGAUUCAUCUCUCUUGAGACUCAAUGUCAGCAUCAACGAUGAAGGUUUCAUCUACAUUCAUUAAGCUGACAAUGAUAAAAGGAAUUCACAAUGAUCACACUUGCUCAUCUUCUCAGGGGUCAGCCAACUUAAAAAGGUAUUGCCUUCAGGCACUCAGUACCAAAUGUCCUUAUCUUUAAGAAUCAAACUGCAGCCAACAAGUAAAGCUGAAAUUUACUACAUGCAUCUAUAAGCUGCUAUGAAUAACAAUAUACUGUGCUGCUAAACUAUAUGCUAACAGCUGAAAUGCUGUUUUAUGAUCACGUGAGCAACGUUUAUAGGCUGUUAUAUCAAAUAUUCUAGAGUUGCACUGGAAUCUAAAAGAGUGCAAACUAAAUAAUAGUGAAAUAGCAGAGAUGAUGUGAUAAGCAGCUUAAAUGGAAAUCAAAUUAAACAAUACUUUAUAAAGUAAUAUUUGCAAAUGUUUAUUAAGAGCCUAGUAUAGUGGGGAUGAGAGAGGUCGUAAAAAUCUUUUACGUUUCCUCCUACAAGCACCUAAGAAGUAUCACUGCUUCUAUCAACAAUUAAAUCUCCAGUCCAUCUUCACAUGAAACUAUCUGCAUAAUACAGAUGCCAAAGGUACUGGCUACACCAGCCAGGAAGCUCACACUGCGUACUUCAAGAUAUACACAUAUAGGAACACAGUUUGACAAUGCACAAACUUAAAUUACUGUUUUGAGCCAGCAAGAAUCUUCUAUGCCCAGCUGCAUUGUGUGAUACAAGAAAUAUGCUACCAGAUGCAAAAGCAGAUGUUUUGGAAACUUCGAUUUCUCAAACAGCAUUGUCAUGUGACUUCUAGUAAGCUGUGCUGGAUGCUUUUGAAUUUACCAGCCCAGCAACACAGCCUGUGUCUGGUCUACAAUACAGACCAUAGAAAGAAAUGCUGUGUUUCCCAGCAAGGAAGCAAAAUGCAUUUAUCCAAACUGAAAGCGAUGGUGUGGUUUACAACUGUAAAAAUUUGCUUUCUUCAUUCAUACUUCUCAUCUCCUUCCCAUCUUGAUGUUUGAGAAAAAUCAAGCAGAAGAGCAUUUUAGGGCAGCAUUUUCUAAAGAUCACAGUUCAUAAUCUAAUUUUUUAUUCCUUAGCCUCACUAGUUUAUAUUCCAACUGUAAAAUCUCUCUUAUUAUUGCCAUUGCACAUUGGUAGCAAGAUAAAGGUUUCAAUACAACUACUCUUUCUAGCACAACACACAGAAUAUGGACCAAUGUUUGAAACUAAAAAACAGUUUCCUGAGCUUUUCCAUCAGCAGUCUGCAGUAUUCCCUGUUUCCCUCAGUCAAAGUAACUGACGACCCCUAGACCCUUCUCUACAUCCUCCUGCUCUGGAAGAAAGAGACUAGCUUGCUUUCCACUUCAUUUAUUCUUUCCUUUCUUUCAGCUACUGAAGGAUCUGUUACCUUGGUUUUUUGUUUGCUUGUUUUUUACAUGAAUCUCCAAGUGUCUGUAUGUGGUAGACUGGUAUAAUCAGGUAAUCGUGGAAGUACUGACUUCCAAAAUGUUAUUUGCUCAUCAUUUUGCAAUGAGCAGCAACAUCCCUUUGUCCAAUCAUGUCACAUAGAAAUGGAGGAUUGUCAAUAAUUCAUUAUGCCAGGUGGAAAAGUCUCUGCAGUAAGCUCCUUGAGGCUUUAUUUCAAGAAGAGAAAAAAGACAAGGUAGUUCCCAAGAAAUGCCUUCUGAAAGAGUUUACAAUCUGACAGACACAAAGAAAAAUUCUAAUUAAACACAAUUCAUGUAUUAAAACAAAAAAUUACUCUUCAAAUUACAAAAUACUACUAUGAAGAAAAAGAAGUUUCCUACUGUCAAUCUGCCAUUCAUAAACAUUAAUUAGUCAGAAGUUAAUAUGCAGAAGAAAUAUAUAUUUGUUGCAUUUCAGUCUACAGAAACAUGCUGGAUUUUAAACUCAACAGCAAAACAGAAUUCUCUUUAAUGUUUGAGCACACAAAACAGGCUUGAACAAAUUCAGUGGUUGCAGAUGUCUGCUGAGGAUACUGCAUACAUGCAAGCCCCAGAACAUAACCUAAUCAUAGAGACAUCAAUAGUCUUUUGAAAUCUACAUGAAAAAUCUCAUUAUUACAUUGUAGUUGGAAGCAUAGAGAAAGACAAAAUAACCCAAAAACAUAAACCUGUUCUUUGACUCCAAUAAUAAUUAUAUAGAGAGAGUGCUAAUAUUUGAAUAUCAUAAUUACAGGUAUUUCAAAGUGAACUACAGCUCAUGGAACUUAUGUGUAGCUCACUCAGCAUGUAAUACUCAGAAGGCACAGACAGCAAUUUGAAAAUGACAAUGUUUUUUGAUUGAAGAGACAACAAUUUAUGUAAAUUGAAAUCAUAAUUAAAAAGCAAUGAAUACUUUAUCUCAAGGUGUAAUUUUAAUUCAUUGUGAAGGCUUAUUUAACGCACAUAAGCUCUUGUAGGCAUCUCAUCCAACUCUCUUAUUAGAAAAGUACUCCUUCCAAUGAAGUGCCGUAGUUAAUCUUAUACAACAGAUUUCAAAUUAUGGUUUGAAAUUAUUUUGCCUUUUCUU